rnacentral:rRNA from 1 species
AUUGAACGCUGGCGGCAUGCUUACACAUGCAAGUCGAACGGUAACAGGUCUUCGGAUGCUGACGAGUGGCGAACGGGUGAGUAAUACAUCGGAACGUGCCCGAUCGUGGGGGAUAACGCAGCGAAAGCUGUGCUAAUACCGCAUACGAUCUACGGAUGAAAGCGGGGGAUCGCAAGACCUCGCGCGGACGGAGCGGCCGAUGGCAGAUUAGGUAGUUGGUGGGAUAAAAGCUUACCAAGCCGACGAUCUGUAGCUGGUCUGAGAGGACGACCAGCCACACUGGGACUGAGACACGGCCCAGACUCCUACGGGAGGCAGCAGUGGGGAAUUUUGGACAAUGGGGGAAACCCUGAUCCAGCCAUGCCGCGUGCAGGAUGAAGGCCUUCGGGUUGUAAACUGCUUUUGUACGGAACGAAAAGGUCCUUUCUAAUAAAGAGGGCUCAUGACGGUACCGUAAGAAUAAGCACCGGCUAACUACGUG